UACAGAGGGUGCAAGCGUUUAAUCGGAAUUACUGGGCGUAAAGCGCGCGUAGGUGGCUGAUUAAGUCGGAUGUGAAAUCCCCGGGCUUAACCUGGGAACUGCAUUCGAUACUGAUCAGCUAGAGUAUGAGAGAGGGAGGUAGAAUUCCACGUGUAGCGGUGAAAUGCGUAGAUAUGUGGAGGAAUACCGGUGGCGAAGGCGGCCUCCUGGCUUAAUACUGACACUGAGGUGCGAAAGCGUGGGGAGCAAACAGG
rnacentral:rRNA from 1 species